GAUGAAAGAACGUAGCGAAAUGCGAUACGUAAUGUGAAUUGCAGAAUUCAGUGAAUCAUCGAAUCUUUGAACGUACAUUGCGCCCGCCAGCACUCUGGCGGGCAUGCCUGUUCGAGCGUCAUUUCAACCAUCAAGCCCCAGGCUUGCGUUGGAGCCCUGCGGCUGCCGCAGCCUCCUAAAAGCAGUGGCGGGCUCGCUAUCACACCGAGUGCAGUAGAUUACUCUUCGCUCAGGGCGUGCAGCGGGUUCCGGCCGUGAAACCCCCUACUUUUAAAGGUUGACCUCGGAUCAGGUAGGAAUACCCGCUGAACUUAAGCAUAUCAAUAAGCGGAGGA
rnacentral:misc_RNA from 1 species